UCAAGUCAGCAUGGCCUUUAUGUCCAGGGCCACACACGUGCUACAAUGGACGGUACAGAGGGACGCAAGACCGCAAGGUGGAGCAAAUCCUCAAAACCGUUCUCAGUUCGGAUUGUAGGCUGCAAUUCGCCUACAUGAAGCUGGAAUUGCUAGUAAUCGCAGAUCAGCUACGCUGCCGGUGAACUACGUUCUCGGGCCUU
rnacentral:rRNA from 1 species